rnacentral:rRNA from 1 species
CAUGCUUUUGACGGGUAACGGGGAAUUAGGGUUCGACUCCGGAGAGGGAGCCUGAGAAACGGCUACCACAUCCAAGGAAGGCAGCAGGCGCGCAAAUUACCCAAUCCCGAUACGGGGAGGUAGUGACAAGAAAUACCGAUUCAGGAUCUUAUUGGAUCUUGAGAUUGGAAUGAGUACAAUUCAAACCCAUUAACGAGGAACAACUAGAGGGCAAGUCUGGUGCCAGCAGCCGCGGUAAUUCCAGCUCUAGUAGCGUAUAUUAAAAUUGUUGCAGUUAAAACGCUCGUAGUUGAACUUUGGGCUUGGCUGGCUGGUCCGCCUCACCGCGAGCACUGGUCCGGCUGGGCCUUUCCUCUUGGGGAUCCACAUGCCCUUCACUUGGGUGUGUUGGGGAACCAGGACUUUUACUUUGAAAAAAUUAGGGUGUUCAAAGCAGGCAUUUGCUCGAAUACAUUAGCAUGGGAUAAUAGAAUAGGACGUGUGGUCUUAUUUUGUUGGUUUCUAGGACCGCCGUAAUGAUUGAUAGGGAUAGUUGGGGGCAUCGGUAUUCAAUU